GUACUCGCUUCGGCAGUACAUAUACUAAAACUGGAACGAUACAGAGAAGAUUAACAUGGCCCCUGCACAAGGAUGACACGCAAAAUCGUGAAGCGUUCCACAUUUUU
rnacentral:snRNA from 1 species